AGCAAAAACCCCGCCUGAGCGGGGUU
rnacentral:sRNA from 1 species